ensembl:lncRNA
GAGCUCAGAUCAGGUGGGUUUGGAGCAGGCCUCGAGGGGCUGCCGGCUGAGCCCAGGGGAGUAGGGAGGAGGGGGGGAACCACACUGGGGUGGGGACCCCAGCGUGGGAGACGGGAGUGUGCACAGCGAGCGGGGAACCGGCUCAUCCCCGACGCGGACACAGACCGAGAGAGAGGUCGGCUGAUGCUCCAGUCUGCAGGCCGCACGCGGGAGCCCGGCUCCUCCCGCUGCCUCCUGGGUCCCACGCGUGUCCCACGUGUUCCGUCACCUCUCUCCAUCCUGGCACAAGAGUCUCAGGAACUCCGGCCGGCGUGGACAGAGCUGGCGUGGCUGUGUGCUCGCGGGGCGUCCUGGACCCAGUCUGCUGGCCACGCAGGCCGGGGGGCAAGUGUGGAGCAGCUGGCGCUCGGUCCUGGCGAGCUUGGCCUGCCGCGUCGCCGCGACGCCCGGAGGCUCCGAGCAGGGCCGGGAGCUGGUCCUGCGCUGCCCUCCUGUGACAGCGCGGCCGCGCCGGCCCUGCGCUCCUGGCUGCCUCCCUUCGGUCCGGCGCGGAGCCGCGGGACCCGCUGGAUCCUACCGCCGCUGCCUUUCGUGGCUCGGCCCCAUCAGGAGCGCAGCGUCCUGCAGCCGGGUCUCGCUGGCCAGCACAGCCUGGCGCCUGGCUCUGGAGCCACAGGUGGCCUGGUGCGGGGGGCGGCGGCACAGCGCUCGGGUCCUCACCUGCGAAGCUGGGUCACACCACCGGUCCCUGGAGGAGAUGGGCACUGGGCAGGGUCUUGCACGGAGGGAACUGGAGCCAGAGAGGGGAGGGGCUUGUCUAGGGGGUCCUUGCUCCUGUGAGACGCUGGCCCGCUCAGGCGGAGCUGAUGGUGAGGGGUGAGGACCCCAGCCAUCUGGUGCCACGCGCAGCUGUGGGGAACCAGGGGCGUGCUGGGCGGUGGUGCCCAGUGCCGGCCCACAAAGCUAACUGCACUGGUCUCUCUGGUCUAUUUAUAGACGUGAAAUGUACAGCAAGUCGUGCAGGAGGCGGUGGGUGGGGGAGGUUUCUGUUUGACUAAUUUAUUUUUUUUCCCUUUGUAGCGGUAUUUUCACAAACCCUUUGGAUUGUCUCCAAAGAGAGGAGACUUAGCACGAAGCUGCUGACUUUGCCGACUGGAGGACGAGAGGGAGAAGGAAGGACAGAGGGGGACAGACAGACAGACGGACAUGGGCCUGGGGAGCAGAAGAGGGGGGCUGGGCGUGUGAGGGCCUGUGACAGCGCUGACGGAUAUAUUCUUCCUAUAAGGAAACUGUAUUUGAAAGAACUACCCAUUUAAAAAUCGUGGGCUAUUCGACUGCAGGGCCAGUGCCAGGAGCCCCGGGCAGGCCCAGCUCCGCGCACAGCCAGGCCUCUCCGCCUCCUCGCGCUGGGCCGUGGGGAGCAGCCUCGCGUCUUGCCUUUCAUUUACAUAUUUUUCAAGAUUUAUUUACUUAUUGAUUUGAGGGGGGGGAGGGACACAGAGAGAGAGAGAAACCGAUCUUCCAUUUGCUGGUUCACUUCCAUAAUGGCUACAACAGCCAGGACUGGGCCAGGCCGAAGCCAGGAGCCAGGAGCUUCUUCCAAAUCGCCCGCACAGAUGCGGGGGCCCAGGCACUAGGGUCGUCUUCCACCGCCUUCCCAGGCUAUUAGCAGGGAGCCCGCUCGGAAGCGGAGUGGCUGGGACUCGAACUGGUGCUCUGGCUCAGGAUGCCAGCGGCACAGGUACCGUCACGCCACCCUUCUUUGGCCUUCCACUUCCUGUCUCACUCCCGCCUCCUCCGUCCUCCGCGGUCUCCCCUCUGCUCUGGAGUUCCACUCUGA